rnacentral:lncRNA from 1 species
GUUCUGUUGUCGCCUUGUAAUGAAGUCCCUUUAUUUCCCUGAGAAACUGCUGCAAACCAGAGCGACAUCAAGUGAUCAGCUCAGCAGGCCUUGGUGGCUUUUCAAGGUCCCCUGCUACCUCCCGCCAGUCAUUACCCUAUAAUCUUCAUGUCAGAGGGCGUCACGGGGCAUAUGUGUCACGCCUAGCAUUCCUUCAUCUCCACCGUCAAGGUUUCUGACAGGGACAUCAGGACCUGACACUCAGGAGAGAGAGCUACAGACACCAUAUAUAUAGAGAAGGCAGUUGAGUGCAUAGGAGAUCACCUGAGAUCAUCCAGAGGAUGAGGAGGAAGCUCAGGGCACUGCCAUGAAGGAGAGACAUAUUUAAGGGAUGGCCAGAGAAAGAAGAUACUGCAAAAGAGGACAGAUCAUCUAGAGAGUUCUGUGUCUUACCCUGGCAGUUCUGUGGGUCUCACAGUCAUGCAGCCUGAAGGUAAAGUAUUCCAAAAUGAUCAAAGCCAAAAUCAAGGUCUUGGUUCAAAGUGGAAUCGAUCUAUCGUCCAUCUCAUUAUUUUUAUUGGCUUCAUGAUUUCUCCCAGUAGAGGUGCACCAUAAUUCUAGAGAACAAUGGUGAAGUGGAGCAUCUUCCAUAUUUUAAGAACCGUAUAUAUUUCCUUCUUUGUGGACUAUUAAUAUCUUUUGAUGAUGUCAGGGUUUGCAACGGAAUAGAUUUAAUACAGGACACAUAAUUUAUAGGAUUAUUUUAUAAUAUUUACCCAAAAAGUCAAAUGCAGAAGAGCGCAAGAGAUCUGUCCACAUGCUAGAGACCUGAAGAAUCCAGCAGAGGGCCUGGAUCCUGUAAUGUCCUCCACAAGUCCCUCUGGAGGCCCUGAGCCCGCAGCAGUCUCAUGCAAGUCUGUAUCAAGGACCUGCACCGGAAGGUCCAAAGGCCGGUGGUGGAAGCUAGAAAGUCUGCACUGGCAGCGUGAAGGAUCUGCACUGGAGCCAGGAAGCGAGGCUCGAGGCAAAGAUCAGAGCUCCCUUGAAGAGAAGAAGCAAAGACCUGAGCUCCUCUAACAAGAACAGCUGAGUUCUUAUCAGGGAAACCAGCUAUGGCAAGCUUCUUCAGGAAAAUCAGCAGCAUACAAUCUUCCCUUCCAGUUCUCCUUUCAUGCCAUUGGGAACAAUCCUCAGGUGGGUCUUCAAUGCCCAGAACCAUGCUGACUCAGUUCAGCUGGGCGUUCCCACUUAAACAGACCAUUAGUUAAUCCAUCACAGCCUUCAUCCAUCUUCCUGUUGGGUUAGUCUAUAUUUACAGAACCGAAAGUAUUAAAUACAUUUUAAAUGACUUCUGACAUGAUGUCUUACUUAGAAAGGCCCACCUUUCUAAAAUACAAUAAUGCAAUCCUCCCUGAUUUGUGAUCUUUCUACUUGCAGCUUUUCAACUUUAUGAUGGUGCAAAAAUAAUAUGGACUCAUUAAUCAGACUUCAAUGUUUUUUUCUUUUUCC